UGGUUCUGGCAUNGAUGAAGAACGCAGCGAAAUGCGAUAAGUAAUGUGAAUUGCAGAAUUCAGUGAAUCAUCGAAUCUUUGAACGCACAUUGCGCCCUCUGGUAUUCCGGGGGGCAUGCCUGUUCGAGCGUCAUUACAACUCUCAAGCUUUGCUUGGUAUUGGGUGCCACCUCUGGGUGCAUCUUAAACUUAGUGGCGGUGCCACCCGGCGUCAAGCGUAGUAACUUUCUCGCUCUGGAGCCUUGGUGUGCUCUUGCCAUCAACCCCAAUUUUUCAAAGGUUGACCUCGGAUCAGGUAGGGAUACCCGCUGA
rnacentral:misc_RNA from 1 species